rnacentral:lncRNA from 1 species
GAAAGCCCCUAAGCGUGGUGCUGCAGCUGCAGCUGCAGCAGCUGAAAGAUCAAAGCAAAAGAGAAAGAGUAAAACUUCCAGUCACCAGAGGUCCAAGUUUUCCAACCUGACUCAGUGUACCUGUCGGCGCAGAAGUGAAACUACGUUCUUUCAGAUUACGGAGAAGGGAGAGAAAAGUCUUCGUCCGGCUACUGGGACCAAAUCGAAAAAAAAGGUCAAAUCAAGAAUUCACAAAGAACCUAGUGAGACAGCGCUGGCCUUGCUCAUCCAUGAGCGAAUGAAUGAAAAUUCCAACGUGAUACCACCAGCCGAAGUUCCACCGGUCCCUGAAAGCGUGCCGGUUCCUAAUGAAGACAUGGCCAGUUCCUAGACCCCAAAUGGGUCCAAAGACCUAAAAAACAUCAAUGAAUGGGGUCUAGGAGCUGAGCCAUGGUCAUGGUGUCCAAGAUAAAUUCCACCACAUGGCAAUAGUAUGAUGGUGACAAUAAAAUCAAUCAGAUGUGAAAAAUAUGU